rnacentral:misc_RNA from 1 species
UAACAAAAAAAAAAAAAAAAAAUACUGCCUCCUGCCCUCCCACCAGAAAAACAGAAGUCCGAAGAUGAUGAGCUUAAUCCUCAGGAGAUCAUCUUCUCAAGGCCCAAGAUUUGCUCCGGCCUCCUUGACAUCCCUUGAAACGCUUUUACACCAGUUCUCAUCCACGUCGACGUACUUUGUUGUGCCCAGAAAUGGCGUUCUCUAUGUGGAGAGUAGACCGAGAAGCUCCUUUGGAUUUAAUAAUAAUAACAAAUGGAGGAACUUUCAUGUGCAAUCAGGGCCCUUGAAUUUUAGGGCAUCACUGACGUCGCAGGCAGAGUUUGCAGUCGACGAUUAUGGCUACGAGGAGGAGAAGGGGUUUGGAGGAAAAGGGAAUAUGAGUAUGAAUAGUAGUGAGGAAGGGCUUGAGAUUGGAAAACUGAGUAUUUCUGAAGAGAUUGUUUCUGCUUUGUCCAAAAGAGGCAUUACCACACUCUUCCCCAUACAGAAAGCUGUGCUCGAACCAGCAAUGAAAGGGAGAGACUUGUUUGGACGGGCUAGAACAGGAACAGGAAAGACUCUUGCAUUUGGAAUUCCCAUCAUUGAUCGAAUCAUUCAGUUCAAUCAAAAGCAUGGACGGGGUAGGAACCCUUUGGCCCUGGUUAUGGCUCCGACAAGGGAACUUGCACGCCAAGUUGAGAAAGAGUUUCGUGAGUCAGCACCCAGCCUGGAUACCAUAUGUCUAUAUGGGGGUACACCUAUUGUGCGCCAAAUGAAGGAACUUGAUUAUGGUGUUGAUGUUGUUGUUGGCACACCUGGCCGCAUCAUUGAUCUGAUGAAGAGAGGUUCUCUAAACUUGUCAGAAGUUCAGUUUGUUGUUCUUGAUGAAGCUGAUCAAAUGCUUGGUGUGGGCUUUGUGGAUGAUAUUGAAACAAUCUUCCAGAGGUUGCCACAGAAUAGGCAGAGCAUGCUGUUCUCUGCAACAAUGCCAAGUUGGAUUAAAAACCUUAUCAGGAAUUAUCUCAAAGAUCCACUGACUAUUGAUCUUGUUGGAGAUUCUAGUACAAAGCUGGCUGAUGGAAUCUCACUUUAUUCAAUUGCCUCAGACACGUAUGAAAAAGCAUCAGUACUCGGUCCUCUGAUAACAGAACACGCAAAAGGAGGAAAGUGUAUUGUUUUUACUGAAACAAAACGUGAAGCUGAUCGAUUAGCAUAUGCUAUGGCAAGAAACUUUCGAUGUGAGGCUUUGCAUGGGGAUAUCUCACAAAGUCAGAGGGAGAGGACACUUUCAGGCUUCCGAAAUGGGAAUUUCAAUAUAUUGGUUGCCACUGAUGUUGCUGCCCGUGGCCUUGAUGUUCCUAACGUUGAUCUGGUAAUACAUUAUGCAUUGCCAAACUGUUCAGAGACUUUUGUUCAUCGAUCUGGCCGUACUGGUCGUGCUGGGAAGAAAGGAACUGCCAUUCUUAUUUACACACAGGAUCAAAGUAGGCAAGUCAGGAUCUAUGAGCGGGAAAUAGGGUGCAGAUUUACAGAGCUUCCUAGGAUUACAGUUGAGGGUGGAAGCAUGGGCAUCAUGAAUGAUAUUGGUUAUGGCGUUCGAUUUGGAGGAGUGAGAGAUCGUCGAUUUGGUGAUACAGGUUUUAGUCGAGCUGGUGGUCAUGGGGAUUAUGGAUCUAAUCGUUACAGGAAUCCAGGAUUUGGCCAUUCUGAUGGGCGUGGUCAACUUUCUCGUCAAAUGAAUGGAGCUGGUUCCUUUGGUUAUAACCGAAAACAACCAGGAAAUUUUAUUAGUCCUGGCUUUGGUUUUGGUGAACCUAGUCGAUCAGAUGGUUCUAGUGCUUUUGGGGACUGGGGUUCUGGUCGUUCCAGUGGAUUUGGUGAUAGUAAUUCAAGCCGAGCCAGUGAUGUUUUGAAUGAGACUCGCACUAGUCGGUUUGGGGGCUUUGGGGAUGUCAAGAAUGAUAAUUCGAACAAUGGGAGAAAAUAAAUCUGACUAAAUAAGUGACAUUGACAUGCCUUGCAAUGACAGCUGAAAUGGCCGGAAAUGGACAGAGUCGGAUACAAGUAGUAUGUUUAUGACGAAUUGAUAACGUUUCUGGAUAUUUAAUAUUAAAGUCUUUUGAUGUUCUGUUACAUUAGUGUUUUUAUUAUCGUUAUAUGAAGGAAAAUUAAUAUUAUUAGUCAGAUAUUGAGAUGAGUGUUUUGAAAUGUAAUCUAUUUAUUUAGUUCAACCUCUGCAGCCGUAUCUAAAUAUGAUACCCUACGUGUUCAAUAUAUAUAUUGUUUUUGGAGGCCAUUCUAGUCAAGCUAGGGAAUUUCGGGUGUCCCAGUCAGUAAGUUUACUUAUUUGUGCGCCAAUUCAAUAAGAUAUCCUGUAUAUUUUUUAAUUGGAUCUUGAAAUUUGAUUUGUUAAUGUUUAUUCUGUAAUUUUAAUCUGCUGUAUG